rnacentral:misc_RNA from 1 species
CUGAGUUGUUGGCAUGAGCUGUUGCUGGUCCCCAAACCUGGGGGCAUGUGCACGCUCUGUUCACACAUCCACUCACACCUGUGCACCCUCUGCGGUUCUAUGGUCCGGGGGACACACUGUCUUCCUCUCCGUGGUUCUGCAUCUUUACACACACACCUUAGUGAAGUCUUAUGGAAUGUACAUCGCGUUUAACGCAAUACAAUA